CUGCCGCCGCCUCUCUGCCUGGCAGCCGUCGCCUGAGUCGCACAGGGGCCGCCUCUCCUUCUCCCGCCCUGCGGUCGCUCCUUCCCCCGCCCAUCGGUCGCCGUUUCCUGAGUCGCACUGGGGCGGCCGCUCCGUCUCCCGCCCUGCGGGCGCCGCCGCAAGAUCUUGGACGGGCCCCAAGAUCUUCAACGGCGCAGCCGGCCUGCGCCGCCCGGCGGCCCUCUCUCUCCAUCGAAGGAUCUUCGGACGGCGCCCGAGAUCGGUUCCUCCGCGCGUCGUGGUUGAGAUCCCUCGCAUAGGAUAUCGGCAUGGCUGGCGAAGGCAUCUCGAUAGAUGAAUUUAUGGAGUACGACUCGAUGGUCAGGCAGACAUUUAAAAGUGAGAACGAAGCGUACAAGUUCUACUUAGGGUAUGCGAAGAACAAAGGGUUUGGUGUUCGAAAGGGUGAUCUGAAAUAUAAGGGAAACAGAGAAAAUGCAUACCGGAGGACGUUUGUGUGUUGCAAACAAGGAUAUCGUGACGUAAAGCACUUUGAUGAAACCGACAAGAAAAGGACACCAAGGGCACUCUCUCGGUGUGGUUGUCCUGCUCUUUUGCAGGUUGAGCUUCAAGCAAGCACUGGGUUGUGGUUUGUAAAGAAUUUUGUUGACCAACAUAGCCAUCCAUUCAUAAAUCCUGAGUUGUCACCUUUCUUGUGGUCUCAUCGUGGCAUGACCGAUCCACAGAAGGCGGAUGUCAUUGAGUACUCGGUUGGUGGACUUCGCACACAUCAGAUAAUGGAUGUGAUGGAGAAGCAGGCUGGUGGUUUGGGCAAGGUUGGAUUUAUAUCUCGCGAUCUGUAUAACCAUGUCGCGUUGGAGAAGAAGAAAAAGAUAGAAGGUAGCGAUGCUCAAUUUAUGCUGAACUACAUGACAGCACAACAGAUGAAAGACCCAGAUUUUUUUUACAGAUACACCACAGACAGUGAUGGGCAUCUGCAGAACAUAUUCUGGGCAGACGCCCAAUCUCGCUUGGACUAUGUUGCAUUUGGUGGUGUGGUGGUGUUUGACAGCACAUACCGGUCAAACAAAUAUAGGUUGCCAUUUGUUCCAUUUGUGGGGCUGAACCAUCACCGCAGCACAGUCGUGUUUGGGGUUGGUCUUGUAUCCGACGAGUCGGCUGACUCAUAUGAGUGGCUGCUUCAGGUUUUUUUGGAGGCAAUGCACCAGAAGCAUCCCAUUUCAGCGAUCACAGACGGCGACGCUUCAAUGGCCAAAGCCAUAUCAUCAGUCUGGCCCAGCACAUAUCACCGUCUGUGCAGCUGGCAUAUCGAGCAGAAUAUGGUGCUUCACCUCCGAAAGGAAAAGCUUAAGGAAUUUAGGAAAUUUAUUUACUAUGCCAUGGAGGUUCAUGAGUUUGAGAGACGCUGGUUGGCUUAUAAGAAGAGAUUCAGAAUCACAAGGAAAAAGAAAGAUGCAUGGAUUCACAGGAUGUACGAGCUGAGAGAAAAGUGGUCUGUAGCAUAUAACAAGGGAAGGUAUUUCCUAGGGAUGUUGAGCAAUCAGAGGAGUGAGUCUCUAAACUCGAGGCUUCAUGUGCACCUGAAUAGGAGAAUGAAACUCGUUGAUCUCGUGCAACACGUUGAACACUGUGUGUCAGUUUUGCGUAGGAAUGAAGCAGCAUUGGACGCUGUAGCUUCGCACACAAUCCCCUUCACUAGAUUGACUGCCGAUCCACUUGAGAUAAGUGCCUCAUCUAUUUAUACCCCUGUUAUGUUCAGUAAGGUGAAGGCCGAGAUUGUCAACUUAUCAAGAUGGAAUGUACUUGAGGUGGAAGAGGACACUGGUUUGGUUAGCUAUGGAGUUGCUCGCAAAGAGUCGGUGCACGUUAGGUUCCAUGUCACAUGUAUUUUUGAUGGAUCUAAGAUGGAAAGUGCAUAUUGUUGUUGUAGGAAGAUGGAAAGCGAGGAUUUUCCAUGUGCUCAUAUAUUUUGCGUUUUGAAGUACAAUGGGAUAUGCACCAUCCCCGCAUGUUGUGUGAAGGCUAGAUGGACAAUGCAAGCCAAGCCUGCUUUCCGUUCUGUGAGGAGUGCCAAUACACAUAUAUGGUCAGAACAGAUGGAUAAGUACCAUGAACUGCGCAAUAUGGCUAGUGAGGCUUUAUUCACGGCCUCAGCUAGUGAAAUGCAGUCAGAAAAGGUGAUGGAGUACCUGAGGAGCAUAUUGGACGAGGGCAACAGAAAUGAUGGGAAUACUGGCACGCCAUCAUUUGUUCCUAUGCCGGCUUAUUUUUCUGGGGCGCGGCAAUGGUUUACAGAUCAAGUCCAAGACCCUAAACCAAUAAUAAAUCCCAAAGGCAGACCAGCCAAAGAAUCGAAUAAGAGGUUGAAGCCAUUCCUGGAGAAUUUGAAAGCAAAAAAGAAUGACUUCGUGAUGGAAACACAUAUUGAUAUAGCAGUGAUGCAAAAUGGAAUGCAAGGAAGUACAUGGCCGGACACUCAAGUGGCUUCGUGGCCUAUCAAAGACUAUGAAGUGCCACAGCAAACAGAUGGCUGUUCCUGUGCUCUCUGGGUGUUGAAAUUCAUCCAAUAUUGGACCGGAGUGAGAUUGUCGGCUAUAUUCAACCAGGAUGACAUAAGACAGUUCAGAAGAUGGCUUGCUGCUGCCUUGCUCAAUUCACCUCACAAUGAGUUGAAAGUUCGGAAGGCCAUACCAGCAGUUGAUUUAGAAGAUGAUUUAGAAGACCUCGACCUCGGAGGUGACGACGGACACAACGACAGCGGAGAUGUCUCAGGAGACGAUGGUUCCGCACUAUAGUUGUAUGGCGCUAGACUUAGGGUAGAGUUAAUAGGAUUGGGCGUGGUGUGGUUUUUGCCCCGAAGAAGGUUUCCACACCGUUUUCAGUUUUAUUACUUUAUCUAUACAGCGGAGAUGUAUCAAACAAUUUUUUUGGUUGUGCUACUUCAUAUAUACGGCAAAUUGCCGUACAUUUACUACUUUUAUCUGCAUUGAAUAUCUACAUUAAUUUUUAAUUAAAGUCUUUCACACACAAAAUCUUGUAUUCUUUGUUUAAUGAUGCAAUUCCCUUUGGUUUAUAGGAUGUGCUUCAAAAACCAAAUUUCUAAGUGGC
rnacentral:rRNA from 1 species